GGAGUAUUGCUAACACUGGUCCUAGCAAAAGCAGUGCUUCGCAGAAUCUACGACCGGAUUGGAAAUGCGACCCACUGAGAAGAUCCGGCGAGAAGCUCGGUGUGCUGCUUGGAAUAGUUCUACGUAUACUUA